rnacentral:rRNA from 1 species
ACUCCUACGGGAGGCAGCAGUGGGGAAUUUUUCGCAAUGGGCGAAAGCCUGACCCAGCAACGCCGCGUGCACGAUGAAGGUCUUCGGAUCGUAAAGUGCUUUUCUGAGAGAUGAGAAAGGACAGUAUCUCAGGAAUAAGUCUCGGCUAACUACGUGCCAGCAGCCGCGGUAAAACGUAGGAGGCAAGCGUUAUCCGGAUUUACUGGGCGUAAAGCGUGUGCAGGUGGUUUGGUAAGUUGGAUGUGAAAGCUCCUGGCUCAACUGGGAGAGGUCGUUCAAUACUACCAGACUUGAGAGCAGUAGAGGGAGGUGGAAUUCCCGGUGUAGUGGUGAAAUGCGUAGAUAUCGGGAGGAACACCAGUGGCGAAAGCGGCCUCCUGGACUGUUUCUGACACUCAGACACGAAAGCUAGGGUAGCAAACGGGAUUAGAGACCCCGGUAGUCCUAGCUGUAAACGAUGUGAACUUGGCGUCGGCGGGUUCAAAGCCGUCGGUGCCGAAGCUAACGCGAUAAGUUCACCGCCUGGGGACUACGGCCGCAAGGUUAAAACUCAAAUGAAUUGACGG